AACACCCUCUGUAUAUGUUCUACAGAGGUGGCAGAAAUAACAUAUCUUUUAAAUUGUUACUGAACUCUCCCUCAGGUUUUUUGAGGACCUUGAACAACGUCACUCUGACAACCCAGUGAUCGACAUUAGCGACAUUGUUCAGACCCACGCUGCUAAACACUUUGAGCCGUACAUUAGCUACUGCUCCAACGAGACCUUUCAGCAGAGGACCCUGCAGAAGUUAUUGUCAAGUAACAGUGCGUUCAAGGAGACCCUGAAGAAAAUCGAAAUGAACAGUGAAUGCAGAGGUCUCCCCAUGCUCUCCUUUCUCAUCCUUCCCAUGCAGCGAGUAACCAGACUGCCCCUACUGCUGGAUACAAUCAGCCAGAAAACUAC